GUGAGGAAUUUUGCGCAAUGGGGGCAACCCUGACGCAGCGACGCCGCGUGGAGGACGAAGUCUUUCGGGAUGUAAACUCCUGUCAGUGGGGACGAUAAUGACGGUACCCACAGAGGAAGCACCGGCUAACUCCGUGCCAGCAGCCGCGGUAAGACGGAGGGUGCAAGCGUUGUUCGGAAUUACUGGGCGUAAAGCGUAUGUAGGCGGCAAGUUAAGUUCAAUGUUAAAGCCCACGGCUCAACCGAGAAGAUGCAUUGAAUACUGGCUAGCUAGAGGGUGUUAGAGGAAGACGGAAUUCCCAGUGUAGCGGUGAAAUGCGUAGAUAUUGGGAGGAACAUCGGUAGCGAAAGCGGUCUUCUGGGACAUACCUGACGCUGAGGUACGAAAGCGUGGGGAGCAAACGGGAUUAGAUACCCCAGUAGUCC
rnacentral:rRNA from 1 species